rnacentral:rRNA from 1 species
UACGGAGGGUGCAAGCGUUAUCCGGAUUCACUGGGUUUAAAGGGUGCGUAGGAGGGCAGGUAAGUCAGUGGUGAAAUCUCUGGGCUUAACCCAGAAACUGCCGUUGAUACUAUCUGUCUUGAAUACCGUGGAGGUGAGCGGAAUAUGUCAUGUAGCGGUGAAAUGCUUAGAUAUGACAUAGAACACCAAUUGCGAAGGCAGCUCGCUACACGAAUAUUGACUCUGAGGCACGAAAGCGUGGGGAGUCAAACAGGA